AUUGAACGCUGGCGGCAUGAUUUACACAUGCAAGUCGAACGGUAACAGGCCGCAAGGUGCUGACGAGUGGCGAACGGGUGAGUAAUGCAUCGGAACGUGCCCAGGCGUGGGGGAUAACUACUCGAAAGAGUAGCUAAUACCGCAUACGAUCUAUGGAUGAAAGCGGGGGACCGUAAGGCCUCGCGCGAUUGGAGCGGCCGAUGUCAGAUUAGGUAGUUGGUGGGGUAAAGGCUCACCAAGCCAACGAUCUGUAGCUGGUCUGAGAGGACGACCAGCCACACUGGGACUGAGACACGGCCCAGACUCCUACGGGAGGCAGCAGUGGGGAAUUUUGGACAAUGGGCGCAAGCCUGAUCCAGCAAUGCCGCGUGCAGGAAGAAGGCCUUCGGGUUGUAAACUGCUUUUGUACGGAACGAAACGGCUCUGGUUAAUACCCGGGGCUAAUGACGCUACCGUAAGAAUAAGCACCGGCUAACUACGUG
rnacentral:rRNA from 1 species